AAUCCAUGGUACGAGCAUUUUUGGUCAACGUUUUAAAACUUUCCCAAGCCUCAUGAAAACUUUCCCCUUCCAUUUAUCUAAAAAAGCAAUUUCUCUUCUUAGUUG
rfam:Gossypium raimondii chromosome 3, whole genome shotgun sequence.